UUCCAGACUCCUACGGGAGGCAGCAGUGGGGAAUAUUGCACAAUGGGGGAAACCCUGAUGCAGCGACGCCGCGUGAAGGAAGAAGUAUUUCGGUAUGUAAACUUCUAUCAGCAGGGAAGAAAGUGACGGUACCUGAUUAAGAAGCCCCGGCUAACUACGUGCCAGCAGCCGCGGUAAUACGUAGGGGGCAAGCGUUAUCCGGAUUUACUGGGUGUAAAGGGAGCGUAGGCGGCGACGCAAGUCAGAAGUGAAAGCCCGGGGCUCAACUCCGGGACUGCUUUUGAAACUGUAUGGCUAGAUUGCAGGAGAGGCAAGUGGAAUUCCUGGUGUAGCGGUGAAAUGCGUAGAUAUUAGGAGGAACACCAGUGGCGAAGGCGGUCUGCUGGGCAGCAACUGACGCUGAGGCGCGAAAGCGUGGGGAGCAAACAGGAUUAGAUACCCCUGUA
rnacentral:rRNA from 1 species